rnacentral:ncRNA from 1 species
AUACUUGCUUUGACAGGAAUAAGUAGCGGGCUGUCCCUGUAAAUUAGAGAAUCGAUGGUUGGUGCAAAUCGAUACACACAGUCUGACCGAAUUACCUCCUUGAGCAUUUGUCGUGAGGAAUUACCUCCUUGAGCAUUUGUCGUGAGAAAUCAAUAAUAGCGACAAACGGUAUAAUGCCGUUAUAGAUCAAGAGUGGGGAGUGGAGUAAUCCAUUCUCAAGUUGGGUGGUAACACGGUUAAAUCGUCCCUUCG